CCAAACUUGGUCAUUUAGAGGAAGUAAAAGUCGUAACAAGGUUUCCGUAGGUGAACCUGCGGAAGGAUCAUUAACGUACCUCCGAACGGCUCUGGCGCGCCAGGCUCCGGUCCGCAAGGCCGUGAAGCGGGUGCGCCCGAGCCGCUCAACCCUCGAACCCACUGUGAACUUUUGUCGGCGGAGGGCGUGGGGGUCGUCGUGCCCCCGCCCCCCCAGCCGCAUCACAAACAACGCGUUCAGAAGUCUCGAGCGGCCCGCGUUGCUGCCUAAUAUCUUGUACAACUUUCAACAACGGAUCUCUUGGCUCUCGCAUCGAUGAAGAACGCAGC
rnacentral:misc_RNA from 1 species